GAUGAACGCUGGCGGCGUGCCUAAUACAUGCAAGUCGAGCAAAUGGAUUAAGAGCUUGCUCUUAUGAAGUUAGCGGCGGACGGGUGAGUAACACGCGGGUAACCUGCCCAUAAGACUGGGAUAACUCCGGGAAACCGGGGCUAAUACCGGAUAACAUUUUGAACCGCAUGGUUCGAAAUCGAAAGGCGGCUUCGGCUGUCACUUAUGGAUGGACCCGGGUCGCAUUAGCUAGUUGGUGAGGUAACGGCUCACCAAGGCAACGAUGCGUAGCCGACCUGAGAGGGUGAUCGGCCACACUGGGACUGAGACACGGCCCAGACUCCUACGGGAGGCAGCAGUAGGGAAUCUUCCGCAAUGGACGAAAGUCUGACGGAGCAACGCCGCGUGAGUGAUGAAGGCUUUCGGGUCGUAAAACUCUGUUGUUAGGGAAGAACAAGUGCUAGUUGAAUAAGCUGGCACCUUGACGGUACCUAACCAGAAAGCCACGGCUAACUACGUGCCAGCAGCCGCAGUAA
rnacentral:rRNA from 1 species